rnacentral:RNase_P_RNA from 1 species
CGAGCUGGCAGGGCGGUCGCGAGCCGGGGCGACCCGGUCCGAGGAAAGUCCGGACUCCGCAGGGCAGGGUGGUUGCUAACGGCAACCCGGGGUGACCCGCGGGACAGUGCCACAGAGAACAGACCGCCCCGGUCCGUGUGCUUCAUGAGGACCGGGGUAAGGGUGAAACGGUGGUGUAAGAGACCACCAGCAUCCCGGGCGACCGGGGUGGCUAGGUAAACCCCACCCGGAGCAAGGCCAAGAGGGAGCUCUCGAGCUCCUGCGCAGGCGUUCGAGGACGGCCCGUCCGAGCCUGCGGGUAGGCCGCUGGAGCCUGCCGGCAACGGCAGGCCGAGAUGGAUGGCCGUCGCCCCGGAAGCCGCAAGGCGACCGGGGAACAGGAUCCGGCUUACAUGCCAGCUCGUCCG